GGGUUGUGAGGUUAAGCGACUAAGCGUACACGGUGGAUGCCCUGGCAGUCAGAGGCGAUGAAGGGCGUGCUAAUCUGCGAUAAGCGCCGGUAAGGUGAUAUGAACCGUUAUAACCGGCGAUACCCGAAUGGGGAAACCCAGUGUGACUCGUCACACUAUCAUUAACUGAAUCCAUAGGUUAAUGAGGCGAACCGGGGGAACUGAAACAUCUAAGUACCCCGAGGAAAAGAAAUCAACCGAGAUUCCCCCAGUAGCGGCGAGCGAACGGGGAGGAGCCCAGAGCCUGAAUCAGCAUGUGUGUUAGUGGAAGCGUCUGGAAAGGCGCGCGAUACAGGGUGACAGCCCCGUACACAAAAGCGCAUGUGCUGUGAGCUCGAUGAGUAGGGCGGGACACGUGGUAUCCUGUCUGAAUAUGGGGGGACCAUCCUCCAAGGCUAAAUACUCCUGACUGACCGAUAGUGAACCAGUACCGUGAGGGAAAGGCGAAAAGAACCCCGGCGAGGGGAGUGAAAAAGAACCUGAAACCGUGUACGUACAAGCAGUGGGAGCACAGGUUUACCUGUGUGACUGCGUACCUUUUGUAUAAUGGGUCAGCGACUUAUAUUCUGUAGCAAGGUUAACCGAAUAGGGGAGCCGGAGGGAAACCGAGUCUUAAU
rnacentral:rRNA from 10 species